rnacentral:rRNA from 1 species
GAGCGGCGAACGGGUGAGUAAUACAUCGGAACGUGUCCCGUAGUGGGGGAUAGCCCGGCGAAAGCCGGAUUAAUACCGCAUAUGCUUACGGAGGAAAGCGGGGGAUUCGCAAGAACCUCGCGCUAUGGGAGCGGCCGAUGUCCGAUUAGCUUGUUGGUGAGGUAAAGGCUCACCAAGGCGACGAUCGGUAGCUGGUCUGAGAGGAUGAUCAGCCACACUGGGACUGAGACACGGCCCAGACUCCUACGGGAGGCAGCAGUGGGGAAUUUUGGACAAUGGGGGCAACCCUGAUCCAGCCAUGCCGCGUGAGUGAAGAAGGCCUUCGGGUUGUAAAGCUCUUUCGGUGGGAACGAAACGGUUACGGUUAAUACCUGUGACUAAUGACGGUACUCACAGAAGAAGCACCGGCUAACUACGUGCCAGCAGCCGCGGUAAUACGUAGGGUGCGAGCGUUAAUCGGAAUUACUGGGCGUAAAGCGUGCGCAGGCGGUUACUUAAGUCAGGUGUGAAAGCCCUGGGCUUAACCUAGGAAUUGCGCUUGAGACUGGGUAGCUUUGAGUGUGGCAGAGGGAGGUGGAAUUCCACGUGUAGCAGUGAAAUGCGUAGAGAUGUGGAGGAACACCGAUGGCGAAGGCAGCCUCCUGGGCCAGCAC